ensembl:ncRNA F58H1.16 ncRNA
CGGAAGGUGUCCUUGCUUGUCAACAGGUCCUUUAACCCAUUACUCGUGCCGCUCCAUACUCCCUUUCAUUUUUUCUCAUUUCUCCGACUUGGUUUACGCAACAUCCUUCCUCUUCUAAUGGGGUAACUUCCACCGGUA